GCCUGUACAACGUCGCAACUAUUAUUAUUAUUAUUAUUAUUAUUAUUUAGUACAUCAGCCAUUUCAUUGGUUUCGUCCAAAGCACAUAUAGAGUGUGUCACUGUGCACGCCGCUCGAAGACUUGGAACGACCCUCGUCCAGUUUUGUUCUCAGCCUAGAUAUCUCGUUGCGUAAAUCGGCUAUGACCGACCUGUAUUGGUUUACCUGGAAGGACACGUUCAAAACGUUCCGUUCGACUUUAUGCGAAAUACCGCUGGCUCUGCAAAGCAAUAAUCAUCGUAUAUAGGUUAAAGUUAUGGAUCGAGCGUCAUCGGGUUUCAACAUUUUGUGCACGUGUAUCUGCAUACAGUUGGAUGUAUAUCAGUAUCCGGUAUCACUCACCUGGCAGCGUAAAUCAAAGUGUUCCUGGUUUCGUCUUUAU